UCAUCAAAUGUCCCUGGUGUUGGUACUC
rnacentral:piRNA from 1 species